UGGGUAACCUACCUAUAAGACUGGGAUAACUUCGGGAAACCGGAGCUAAUACCGGAUAACAUUUAGAACCGCAUGGUUCUAAAGUGAAAGAUGGUUUUGCUAUCACUUAUAGAUGGACCCGCGCCGUAUUAGCUAGUUGGUAAGGUAACGGCUUACCAAGGCGACGAUACGUAGCCGACCUGAGAGGGUGAUCGGCCACACUGGAACUGAGACACGGUCCAGACUCCUACGGGAGGCAGCAGUAGGGAAUCUUCCGCAAUGGGCGAAAGCCUGACGGAGCAACGCCGCGUGAGUGAUGAAGGGUUUCGGCUCGUAAAACUCUGUUAUUAGGGAAGAACAAAUGUGUAAGUAACUGUGCACAUCUUGACGGUACCUAAUCAGAAAGCCACGGCUAACUACGUGCCAGCAGCCGCGGUAAUACGUAGGUGGCAAGCGUUAUCCGGAAUUAUUGGGCGUAAAGCGCGCGUAGGCGGUUUCUUAAGUCUGAUGUGAAAGCCCACGGCUCAACCGUGGAGGGUCAUUGGAAACUGGGAAACUUGAGUGCAGAAGAGGAAAGUGGAAUUCCAUGUGUAGCGGUGAAAUGCGCAGAGAUAUGGAGGAACACCAGUGGCGAAGGCGACUUUCUGGUCUGUAACUGACGCUGAUG
rnacentral:rRNA from 1 species